GGGCAAGUGGCGGAAUUGGCUAUACGCGCCAGUCUUAGGAACUGGUUCCGAAAGGAUUGAGGGUUCGAGUCCCUCCUUGCCCA
rnacentral:tRNA from 1 species